rnacentral:rRNA from 1 species
GACGAACGCUGGCGGCGUGCUUAACACAAGCAAGUCGAACGAAGUGGCGAACGGGUGAGUAACGCGUAAUCAACCUGCCCUUCAGAGGGGGACAACAGAUGGAAACGACUGCUAAUACCGCAUACUGAAGGUGGGGAUUGCGUCUGAUUAGCUAGUGGGAGGGGUAAAGGCCCACCAAGGCGACGAUCAGUAGCUGGGCUGAGAGGAGGAUCCGCCACACUGGGACUGAGUCACGGCCCAGACUCCUACGGGAGGCAGCAGUGGGGAAUUUUGGACAAUGGGCGCAAGCCUGAUCAAGCCAUGCCGCGUGGCGGAAGAAGGCCUUCGGGUUGUAAAGGACUGUUGUCAGGGAAGCGGUACAUGAAGAAUAAGCACCGGCUAACUACGUGCCAGCAGCCGCGGUAAUAC